rnacentral:piRNA from 1 species
UGAAGAUUUUCAACUUAAAGGACCAG